rnacentral:snRNA from 1 species
GUGCUCCCUUCUGGAGCACACUGCUAAAAAAAUUAGACAAUACAGAGAAGAUUAGUGUGGCCCCCACCCAAGGGUGACAUGCAAAAAGAUAUCCAUUUAGAAAUGGUU